UUAAGCGACUAAGCGUACACGGUGGAUGCCCUGGCAGUCAGAGGCGAUGAAGGACGUGCUAAUCUGCGAUAAGCGUCGGUAAGGUGAUAUGAACCGUUAUAACCGGCGAUUUCCGAAUGGGGAAACCCAGUGUGAUUCGUCACACUAUCAUUAACUGAAUCCAUAGGUUAAUGAGGCGAACCGGGGGAACUGAAACAUCUAAGUACCCCGAGGAAAAGAAAUCAACCGAGAUUCCCCAGUAGCGGCGAGCGAACGGGGAGGAGCCCAGAGCCUGAAUCAGUGUGUGUGUUAGUGGAAGCGUCUGGAAAGGCGCGCGAUACAGGGUGACAGCCCCGUACACAAAAAUGCACAUGCUGUGAGCUCGAUGAGUAGGGCGGGACACGUGGUAUCCUGUCUGAAUAUGGGGGGACCAUCCUCCAAGGCUAAAUACUCCUGACUGACCGAUAGUGAACCAGUACCGUGAGGGAAAGGCGAAAAGAACCCCGGCGAGGGGAGUGAAAAAGAACCUGAAACCGUGUACGUACAAGCAGUGGGAGCCUCUUUAUGGGGUGACUGCGUACCUUUUGUAUAAUGGGUCAGCGACUUAUAUUCUGUAGCAAGGUUAACCGAAUAGGGGAGCCGAAGGGAAACCGAGUCUUAACUGGGCGUUAAGUUGCAGGGUAUAGACCCGAAACCCGGUGAUCUAGCCAUGGGCAGGUUGAAGGUUGGGUAACACUAACUGGAGGACCGAACCGACUAAUGUUGAAAAAUUAGCGGAUGACUUGUGGCUGGGGGUGAAAGGCCAAUCAAACCGGGAGAUAGCUGGUUCUCCCCGAAAGCUAUUUAGGUAGCGCCUCGUGAAUUCAUCUCCGGGGGUAGAGCACUGUUUCGGCAAGGGGGUCAUCCCGACUUACCAACCCGAUGCAAACUGCGAAUACCGGAGAAUGUUAUCACGGGAGACACACGGCGGGUGCUAACGUCCGUCGUGAAGAGGGAAACAACCCAGACCGCCAGCUAAGGUCCCAAAGUCAUGGUUAAGUGGGAAACGAUGUGGGAAGGCCCAGACAGCCAGGAUGUUGGCUUAGAAGCAGCCAUCAUUUAAAGAAAGCGUAAUAGCUCACUGGUCGAGUCGGCCUGCGCGGAAGAUGUAACGGGGCUAAACCAUGCACCGAAGCUGCGGCAGCGACGCUUAUGCGUUGUUGGGUAGGGGAGCGUUCUGUAAGCCUGCGAAGGUGUACUGUGAGGUAUGCUGGAGGUAUCAGAAGUGCGAAUGCUGACAUAAGUAACGAUAAAGCGGGUGAAAAGCCCGCUCGCCGGAAGACCAAGGGUUCCUGUCCAACGUUAAUCGGGGCAGGGUGAGUCGACCCCUAAGGCGAGGCCGAAAGGCGUAGUCGAUGGGAAACAGGUUAAUAUUCCUGUACUUGGUGUUACUGCGAAGGGGGGACGGAGAAGGCUAUGUUGGCCGGGCGACGGUUGUCCCGGUUUAAGCGUGUAGGCUGGUUUUCCAGGCAAAUCCGGAAAAUCAAGGCUGAGGCGUGAUGACGAGGCACUACGGUGCUGAAGCAACAAAUGCCCUGCUUCCAGGAAAAGCCUCUAAGCAUCAGGUAACAUCAAAUCGUACCCCAAACCGACACAGGUGGUCAGGUAGAGAAUACCAAGGCGCUUGAGAGAACUCGGGUGAAGGAACUAGGCAAAAUGGUGCCGUAACUUCGGGAGAAGGCACGCUGAUAUGUAGGUGAAGCGACUUGCUCGUGGAGCUGAAAUCAGUCGAAGAUACCAGCUGGCUGCAACUGUUUAUUAAAAACACAGCACUGUGCAAACACGAAAGUGGACGUAUACGGUGUGACGCCUGCCCGGUGCCGGAAGGUUAAUUGAUGGGGUUAGCGGUAACGCGAAGCUCUUGAUCGAAGCCCCGGUAAACGGCGGCCGUAACUAUAACGGUCCUAAGGUAGCGAAAUUCCUUGUCGGGUAAGUUCCGACCUGCACGAAUGGCGUAAUGAUGGCCAGGCUGUCUCCACCCGAGACUCAGUGAAAUUGAACUCGCUGUGAAGAUGCAGUGUACCCGCGGCAAGACGGAAAGACCCCGUGAACCUUUACUAUAGCUUGACACUGAACAUUGAGCCUUGAUGUGUAGGAUAGGUGGGAGGCUUUGAAGUGUGGACGCCAGUCUGCAUGGAGCCGACCUUGAAAUACCACCCUUUAAUGUUUGAUGUUCUAACGUUGGCCCCUAAUCGGGGUUGCGGACAGUGUCUGGUGGGUAGUUUGACUGGGGCGGUCUCCUCCUAAAGAGUAACGGAGGAGCACGAAGGUUGGCUAAUCCUGGUCGGACAUCAGGAGGUUAGUGCAAUGGCAUAAGCCAGCUUGACUGCGAGCGUGACGGCGCGAGCAGGUGCGAAAGCAGGUCAUAGUGAUCCGGUGGUUCUGAAUGGAAGGGCCAUCGCUCAACGGAUAAAAGGUACUCCGGGGAUAACAGGCUGAUACCGCCCAAGAGUUCAUAUCGACGGCGGUGUUUGGCACCUCGAUGUCGGCUCAUCACAUCCUGGGGCUGAAGUAGGUCCCAAGGGUAUGGCUGUUCGCCAUUUAAAGUGGUACGCGAGCUGGGUUUAGAACGUCGUGAGACAGUUCGGUCCCUAUCUGCCGUGGGCGCUGGAGAACUGAGGGGGGCUGCUCCUAGUACGAGAGGACCGGAGUGGACGCAUCACUGGUGUUCGGGUUGUCAUGCCAAUGGCACUGCCCGGUAGCUAAAUGCGGAAGAGAUAAGUGCUGAAAGCAUCUAAGCACGAAACUUGCCCCGAGAUGAGUUCUCCCUGACUCCUUGAGAGUCCUGAAGGAACGUUGAAGACGACGACGUUGAUAGGCCGGGUGUGUAAGCGCAGCGAUGCGUUGAGCUAACCGGUACUAAUGAACCGUGAGGCUUAACCU
rnacentral:rRNA from 1 species